rnacentral:rRNA from 1 species
UACGGGGGGAGCAAGCGUUGUUCGGAUUUACUGGGCGUAAAGGGCGCGUAGGCGGCCACUGCAAGUCAGUUGUGAAAUCUCCGGGCUUAACCCGGAAAGGUCAACUGAUACUGCAGGGCUAGAGUGCAGAAGGGGCAACUGGAAUUCUCGGUGUAGCGGUGAAAUGCGUAGAUAUCGAGAGGAACACCUGCGGCGAAGGCGAGUCUCUGGACGACUCCUGACACUGAGGCACGAAAGCUAGGGGAGCAAACAGG